GGCUCCGUGGUGUAGUGGUUAUCACAUCUGCCUAACACGCAGAAGGUCCCGGGUUCGAAACUCGGCGGAACCU
rnacentral:tRNA from 1 species